GUGUGUGUAUGUAUAUAUAUAGAGUCACAAUGAGGAUAUUUAAACCUCUUACAGGGAUAUUUAUAUCCAAAAUUCACUGGUUUUAUAUAUAUAAUAUUUUGAAGAGACAUUUCUUCAAUGAAUAUAUUAUAUGGAAUAUCGUAAAAUAUCAAA